rnacentral:rRNA from 1 species
ACGUUAUUCGGAAUCACUGGGCUUAAAGGGUGCGUAGGCGGCUGUCUAAGCAGGGUGUGAAAGCCCCCGGCUCAACCGGGGAAUUGCGUUCUGAACUGGACGGCUGGAGUGGGAUAGGGGUGUGUGGAACUUCCGGUGGAGCGGUGAAAUGUGUUGAUAUCGGAAGGAACGCCGGUGGCGAAAGCGACACACUGGGUCUCAACUGACGCUGAGGCACGAAAGCCAG